GGAAACAAAAUAUGAGCUGAACAAAAUUCAUAAUAGGGUUGACAUGACUAUGGCAGCAUUUGAACUGAAUGAGAAACUUGUAGAAGAAAAUAAAGCUACAUAUUUUGUUCCUGAUUUAAUUGAGUUGGAGAAGAUAAUAAGCGAUACAAUC